rnacentral:rRNA from 1 species
GCUGACGAGUGGCGGACGGGUGAGUAAUGUCUGGGAAACUGCCUGAUGGAGGGGGAUAACUACUGGAAACGGUAGCUAAUACCGCAUAACGUCGCAAGACCAAAGAGGGGGACCUUCGGGCCUCUUGCCAUCGGAUGUGCCCAGAUGGGAUUAGCUAGUAGGUGGGGUAACGGCUCACCUAGGCGACGAUCCCUAGCUGGUCUGAGAGGAUGACC